CGCUUAUACCGGCGAACGGCUAUUAUUUUUAAGAGUUUUGCCGCCGUAUCGAUAUUGCAUAUUAUCGUCUCCGUCGCCUGUCUCGAUUUUCAACUAUAUACAAACACCUGUCUCCGGUUUCCGACGACUCCCAAACCUCUAAACGUAAUACGUAUACUGUAUGUUUUAGAGACGGAAUUUUUUUCCGACUCUGGCCGAAAUCGAAUUUGCGUUACCGAAGACAAAACGUUAUCGUGACGACAACAAAAUAACACGCGAGAUUUCGCUUAAACAUCGUGUCUUACCUCUCAUAUCAAUAUCGACAUCAAAUAUAGCACCGCCGCCACCUCAAUCCCCGUUCACACCGUCCCCUUUCCGACCUGGAAUGUCAGAGGAUAAGGGGUAAAAGUAAAUGAGAUGUGUGAGAGGUAAAUGGCGGUGAAAGGGGUAGUGUUAUUUGUAUUAAUAAGAGAUAAGGUGCGAUAUGUAA